rnacentral:lncRNA from 1 species
AUGCGAUAUCAUCACAAAACUUGGAAUAUUUCCAUAAAACCUGGGAAUAUUGUCUUGAAUCUAUGGGAUAUCACAAAACCUGGGAAUAUUUCCAUAAAACUCGGGAAUAUUUUCAUAAAACUCUGGAAUAUUUCUAUAAAUCUAUGGGAUAACAUCAGAAAAUCUGGGAAUAUUUCCAUAAAACCCGGGAAUCUGCUCAGGGAUCCACGGGAUGGCCUCAGAAAACCUGGGAAUCCUCCCAGGAAACGCCUGGAAUUUCCCUCCUGGGUGGCUCCCGGUGCUGAUCCGGUGGGAAAUCCUUGGGAAGGGAUCCCUGAGCCUGAAUCGCUGAAAUCCCGAAGGAAUUCCGGGAGAAUUCCAGGAAUUCCGGUGGAACGGAGCGGGGAGGGAUUCCCGAGGGAUGGGGAGGGAAAAGAUUCCCGAAGAAAAGAAGGGAAGGGGGGAUUCCCAAGGGAAGGAAGGGAUUUUAGGGAAGGAUCCCUUGGGAUCCCGGCCGGAUCCAUCCCGGCCUUUGCAGCCCCUCGGGAAUUCAGGCUGAUCCCGAGGAUCCCAGGGAUCCCGACCCAGUGGAUCCUGGUCCCGUUGAUCCCAGGGAUCCAGCUGAUCCCAAUCCGGCCGAUCCCAAAGGUUUCACUGAUCCUGCUGAUCCCGAUCCAGUGGAUCCCGCUGAUUUCGCAGAUCCCAAUCCCGCUGAUCCUGAUGAUUUCACCAAUCCCAAUCCAGCUGAUCCCAAGGAUUUCACUGAUCCCGCUGAUUUCAGGGAUCCCUCUGAUCCCGAUCCAACCGAUCCCAAGGAUGUCAGGGAUCCUGCUGAUUUUGCUGAUCCGGCUGAUCGCGAUCCCGCUGAUUUCAGGGAUCCAUCUGAUCCCGAUCCCGCUGAUUUCGGGGAUCCCUCUGAUUUCGGGGAUCCCUUUGAUCCCGAUCCGGCCAAUCCCAAGGAUGUCAGGGAUCCCUGUGAUCCCGAUCCAGUGGAUCCCGCUGAUUUCGCAGAUCCCAAUCCCGCUGAUCCUGAUGAUUUCACCGAUCCAAAUCCAGUUGAUCCCAAGGAUUUCACUGAUCCUGACCCGGCAGAUCCCAAUGAUUUUGGGGAUCCCGCUGAUCCCGAUCCCUGUGAUCCCUGUGAUCCCACUGAUCCCGAUCCUGCUGAUUUUGGGGAUCCCGCUGAUCCCGAUCCCUGUGAUCCCACUGAUCCCAAUCCCGCUGAUUUUGGGGAUCCCUCCGAUCCUGAUCCCGUUGAUUUCAGGGAUCCCUCUGAUCCCGAUCCCGGGGAUCCCGGCAGGAAGCUGCAGACCAGGAAGUCGGGCCGGUUGCAGUAGGCGGCCGCCAGGCUCCGCCCGUCCGGAGUGGGGUCGGAAAAGGCCAAAUCCUGGGAAUCCAGCACGGCCCCGAACACGAACGUGCGCCUGGGGACAGCGGGAAAAACGCGGGAAAAACGGGAUUGGAAACAGGAAAAACCCAGAUUGGAAAUGGGAAAAACAGGAUUGGAAACCGGGAUUGGAAAUGGGAAAACCACGGGAAAAA